rnacentral:tRNA from 3 species
GUGGGUGUAGCUCAGUUGGUUAGAGCGCCAGGUUGUGGCCCUGGAGGUCGUGGGUUCGACUCCCAUCACUCACCCCA